AACGAACGCUGGCGGCAGGCCUAACACAUGCAAGUCGAGCGAGAUCUUCGGGUCUAGCGGCGGACGGGUGAGUAACGCGUGGGAAUAUGCCUCUUGGUACGGAAUAGCCUCGGGAAACUGGGAGUAAUACCGUAUGUGCCCUUUGGGGGAAAGAUUUAUCGCCAAGAGAUUAGCCCGCGUUGGAUUAGGUAGUUGGUGGGGUAAUGGCCUACCAAGCCGACGAUCCAUAGCUGGUUGAGAGGAUGAUCAGCCACACUGGGACUGAGACACGGCCCAGACUCCUACGGGAGGCAGCAGUGGGGAAUCUUAGACAAUGGGGGCAACCCUGAUCUAGCCAUGCCGCGUGAGUGAUGAAGGCCUUAGGGUUGUAAAGCUCUUUCAGCUGGGAAGAUAAUGACGGUACCAGCAGAAGAAGCCCCGGCUAACUCCGUG
rnacentral:rRNA from 1 species